rfam:Bacillus enclensis strain SGD-1123 genomic scaffold Scaffold2, whole genome shotgun sequence.
CCGAUGUUCCGCUGCAAUCCAUCGCUUUUGUAAGAGCAUCUG